rnacentral:rRNA from 1 species
GAUGAACGCUGGCGGCGUGCCUAAUACAUGCAAGUCGAGCGAAUGGAUUAAGAGCUUGCUCUUAUGAAGUUAGCGGCGGACGGGUGAGUAACACGUGGGUAACCUGCCCAUAAGACUGGGAUAACUCCGGGAAACCGGGGCUAAUACCGGAUAACAUUUUGAACCGCAUGGUUCGAAAUUGAAAGGCGGCUUCGGCUGUCACUUAUGGAUGGACCCGCGUCGCAUUAGCUAGUUGGUGAGGUAACGGCUCACCAAGGCAACGACGCGUAGCCUACCUGAGAGGGUGAUCGGCCACACUGGGACUGAGACACGGCCCUGACUCCUACGGGAGGCAGCAGUAGGGAAUCUUCCGCAAUGGACGAAAGUCUGACGGAGCAACGCCGCGUGAGUGAUGAAGGCUUUCGGGUCGUAAAACUCUGUUGUUAGGGAAGAACAAGUGCUAGUUGAAUAAGCUGGCACCUUGACGGUACCUAACCAGAAAGCCACGGCUAACUACGUGCCAGCCGCCGCCGUAA